rnacentral:rRNA from 1 species
AUUGAACGCUGGCGGCAGGCCUAACACAUGCAUGUAGAACGAGUGUCGGACGGGUGAGUAAUGUCUGGGAAACUGCCUGUUGGGGGGGGAUAAAUACUGGAAACGGUAGCUAAUACCGCCUACCAUCAGAUGGACCAAGAUGGGAUUAGCUAGUUGGUGGGGUAACGGCUCACCAAGGCGACGAUCCCUAGCUGGUCUGAGAGUAUGACCAUCCAUCCUGGGACUGAGACACGGGCCAGACUCCAGCGAGAGGCAGCAGUGGCAAAGAUCGCACCAUGUGCGCAAGCCUGCUGCAGCCAUGCAGCUUGUAUGACGACGGCCGUCGGGUUGUAAAGUACUGUCAGCGGGGAGCCGUUACCCGCAGAGGAAGCACCGGCUAACUCCGUGACAGCAGCCGCGGUAAUAC